UACGUAGGUGGCAAGCGUUGUCCGGAUUUAUUGGGUUUAAAGGGUGCGUAGGCGGCCCUGUAAGUCAGUGGUGAAAUACUCCAGCUUAACUGGAGGGGUGCCAUUGAUACUGUAGGGCUUGAGUGGAGUCGAAGUAGGCGGAAUUGACGGUGUAGCGGUGAAAUGCUUAGAUAUCGUCAAGAACACCGAUAGUGAAGACAGCUUACUAGGCUUCUACUGACGCUGAGGCACGAAAGUGUGGGGAUCAAACAGG
rnacentral:rRNA from 1 species